rnacentral:lncRNA from 1 species
UGCUGAGCUCUGAAGUGCUUCCUCUCCCUCCCAGAAGCCACACAGAGGAUAUAUCUAUUCUUGAAGGAGCACUGAGGCUCUCAGACUUGACCUUUAAAUGUUUUAGGUAUUGUUAACUGUGCCGAUAUUUUUUCCCUAGGCUCUCCAUACACUUGCAGAAGGGAAUUUCAGUCCAUUUGCUGAAGACUAGGCAACCCUUCCGCCUAAUAAAUCCAGAAGCCUCUGCCAGAGAGUGUGACACAGUAGGGGUAUGGACAACCACGUGUGGAUCUCAGGAAAAAAUCAUUAAAGACAUCCCUUAUAAAGCCUCCAUUGUCAGCAGCUCUUUUACCCCUUUCACAUACCUUGGAGGUAUUGGUAUCAACCUGGGAACUACCCCUGGUCCAAGAGGAGGCAACCCCACAGCCUGUGUGAGGCUUCACACUGGUGGGAGAUGUGGCAUCCCUCUCAUCAGCCAAAUGACCUGUUUCCCCUCAGUUUGUCCUUAGACACAGCCAGCCAUUCACAGACAUCUUUCCUGAAAAACAUCAGAAACAGCAGAAGCACUGGGACCCUGCAGUGCUGCACUGUGUGACCUUUCAGAAGUGGCAAUAACACAU